ACAGCUUUUAGGUUUGAGUCUGACCAGAUUGUAUAAGAUCCUCGAUAGCUUUCGGCAUAGGACUGUUAGGGAGCACAGAUUUCCAAUAUGUCUCAGCAGGUUGUGCUGCGUGGCUUGACACACAAGCUAGCUGAAACACACAGACGAACAAGUGAACAUUUUAUUGGAAAAGGCGUAAAAGAGAAUACAUUUUAUUGGCAAAAGCGUAAAUAAUUGAUACAAUGUUGUACUCACAGCAACAAAGAUGAAGAGAUGUAGGGGUCGAAACUCCAUUUUGUAAGAGACUGGCCGCCAAGGGAAGUGUAAACAGAAGUGAAAUUUUAUGAUAGAUGUGAAAAAUGAAACCACAACUUUCUUGAAGAUAAAAGGCAACAACUAUAGUGCUAUUUAUAGCCGAAUGUGGGUUCAGGGUAAAAUGUCAGCAGAUAAGCAACAGAUCAUCUCUACUGAUGACUUGUGCUCUAAUCACUUCCAACUGUGGCUUAAACGCAUUAAUGCCAAUUGAGCCAAAUGUAUCAGUGAGUUACAUGUGUGAAGUUCUGCGCGUUUGUGUGUGAGAUACAGAUGCCUGUUUCCUAAUUGCAUACGCAAACGAUAAUCCUGUCUGGUCUGAUCUGAUAAUGGUCAAUCCUUACUUGAUCAAUGCUAUCAGACAAAGGGUUUCAGCUGGAAGUUGAGAGCUCAAGUUUUAAGCCUUGCGCUUAUGGCAAUCUGGCGUCAUCUUUAUCGAUUAGUUUUCUGGCCAUCCCAACUCUCUCAUUGGUUUCUUUUUCUAGCCGUCCUCCCUCUUUUUCCGACCCUCUCUUUCUCUCAAACUCUUUCUUAUUUCUUCUCUCCAACCGCCACCCAAAGCUCUCCUCUUUCCUGGUUUUCUAUCAACCCAGCUGUCAUCUAUUCUUUUCGUUUCUUUCUCUUGCCGUCCCCAAAACCUCUCUCUAUCUCUCAAAACCUAGCUAUCAUUCUAGAUUCAUCCCCCCCUCCAGGUGUCCUAGACACCUGGCCUUUUACAGCUCCAAAUUUCAUCUCCAGGACCUCUUCCAAUCUCAUUUGCAAGUUGCGGCAAAAAACGCAGUUUUCUGCAUUGCCGUGACUCUUUUUUUUUUUUUUGAAAAGUAAGAAAUAAUUUUAACUAAAAUAAAUAAAAAUACUAAAAAAAAUGCCCAAAACAUAUUUUUGUGAACAAAUUCUUUUCUUACAAAUUUUAUGCUAAAAUUCUUAUAAAUAAAAAUAAACAACUAAAAAACAAAAACAAAAUAAAACUAAAAAAUGAAAUAAAAGACAAAAAUAAAUUAAGAUGCUAUAAAAAUACUAGAAAAUGCCCAAAACAAAAAUUAUGAAACUAAUAUAUAUGAUUAUCACUAAAAUAAAAUAAAAAUAAAAAAAAUAAAAAUUAAAUAAAAGUAAAAUAAAAUCGUUCAAAAUUUUGGUGUCUACACCCUCCACUCGCAGCAUCAAUGAUAUUCCUGUAUCUGAAGAUUAGUCCCUCGUAAAAAUAUUGUAUGAGCAACUGCUCACUUAUUUGGUACUGAGAGCACUUGAUGCACAACUUCUUGAAUCGCUCCCAGUAGUCGUAGAGUGACUCCUGGAUGCUGUUUGAUACCACAGAUCUCCUUUUUAGACUUAGUUGACAUGCUCAAUUUGAUAAGUGUGUCUUCCACGAGUUUUCUGGCAGCUGACGGAGCACAUCUCAAGUUCGUUUCAGUUAGAUUUUAGUUGAUGAGUUUUGGAUGAAACAAUUGCUAAAAAAGGCCUCCUCUUUGUUCAGUUAACUUUAUUUCCUCUGUAAUCUCAGGACUCAUGAAGCUGUUUCAGAGAACACAAGUCUGCUACUCACACAUGAUCCAUUUUAUCAUCUAUUAAUGGUUGUUGGGCUGAUAAUAGUGCAGUUUAAGGAAGGGAAUUUGCGUUUUUCAUCCUGCAGACGGUCAAGAGUUGGAGAUGCUAUUCUUUUGAAGGAGCGGUUACUGAUGCAUAAUUCUCAUGACUGCAUGAUCCAAUUGAGGAAAAGCAUCUCUACAUUCUAAGGUUAGUCCGGAUUGAUCUAAACUAAAAUAUUUUAAGGUUAGUCCUGAUUGAACUAAAGCAUGCUAAAAUGAUUGAACAGACCAUUUAAUGUUGUAUUAAGAAACAUGUCUUUUUGUCUUGGCCUUGAGUGAAUGGUGUAUAGGCAUGUUCUAUCUGAAUUUUAAUUGUGGGAAGGUUCUCUUUCCCUUGCUGAUUGAAGCCAGCCCAAUGUUAAUUAACUUGAGCUGGACAAGUGCUAUCAAGAGUUUAUUGUUGUUCUUUUUAGUAUGAUAACAAGGCUCCGUUAGAGUUCUAUUCAAAAUUUGUUGUCGUGCUAAAGCAUUGGCUGGAGGGUUCUUAACUUUAUUGCCAAAUUAUUGAAAGCCAUUUGUUAAAGCUUUUAAGGAAUUAAGUGGUUUUUCUGUUGAAGAAUAUUGUUGCAUCUCAUAGAUGACUAAAAUGGAAGAUUCAGAAGAAAAUUCCAAGGAUGCUGUGGUGGCAGUAUGAAUGGAUAUUGCAUGGAAUGUCUUGCACAAAGUAAAGAUCUCGUAUAUGCAUUGUCAGAGCAAUAUCCCAACCACAAUCUCUAGCACAAUUGAACUUAAGAUGUUUAAGAUGAGAUGGAGUGGGUAUGCUGGAUUAGUUUCAUCGGUUGUUUCUUUGAGAUUCACAGGUAACAUUUGUCAAACUGAAGAAUAUUUUAGUUAUUACAUUGACAUGGCCUGAAGAUGAAGGCUCACAGUACAAUACUUCCUGCAUAUCAUGCUUAUUCAUCUAGGAUCAUCUUGGAGGAUCAGGUGGCCACUAUUUAAUUUUUCAUUUGUUGCUGUUUUUUGCACUCUCGUGGUUUCAAAAUGCAUUCUAAAAACACUUCUCACAUCGCAAGGACUUCUUUUAUUUAUUUUCUCUGUUCCAUCACCUCAUUUUUUUUCCUUCUUUCUGUAGUUCUUGAUUCUGUUCGUUAGAAAUCUAUUUUCAGUUGCCCUAGGUUGCUUUUGGGUUGGGCAUUUGUAUUUCAGGGAAAGAUGUGAGGAGUGGUUUUGAAAUCUUUGUUCUUGUUGUCUUGUCUUUAAAGAAAGACGCCUUACAGUGGUUUGUUAUUGGCUGACCCACCAUACCAGCUCCAUAAGUACUCGAAUGAAAUUACUUCAGAGGAGGACAUGAGAGCCGUACCUUACAUAAAGAAACUCACUCACUAUCUGACAUAUAUUCUAAGUAUAGAAUCUAAUACUCAGAUGUCUUUUAGUAUAGCUGGUCAGACUACAUCCUGAGUACAGAUAAUAGUUGUAAUUGAUUUCUUUCUUAGUAGACAUUUGAAUAAGAAAAUUUCUUAAUGAAAGUUAUCCACUCCAAGUUACUAAAGACUUGAAAGUAACUUGUCAAUGGCCAAUUUAUGAUGGAUAUUUGACCACCUUACUGGAACUGCUGAAGUCUUGAUGGUUUAUGAGGGAUGCGAAAUCCACAAUAAGGAGGCCAUUCAGACACUAGCAGUGGAUUUGUAGUUGUCUGAAACAUGCUACUCUGAAUCUUCUAUCUGAGGAAAACCAUCUAUGUUUGUUGAAGUGAUAUUAAACAGUCUUAUACUAAAUCCGUCAAUUAUUUUUGUUUACAGUUACGUGGUAGGCAUUUAACUUCAUCCUCUACUCUGUUGCCAUCUCUAAUCUAUACUGAGAAUUGGAUUUUGUCAAUUAUUUUGCUCAUAACUGAUGCUAAAAGACCUUUAGUGCAAUUUUAUUCCUGUGCAGGGGAAGAUUAUUUGAUUUGUAAUUAUAGUAAAAAAUGAUUUUUUAAUCUGCAUUGUGCUACUGAUAAGCACUUGAAGGAUUUGUUCACUCUGAAAUCCAAUCAAAGGAAGAGAAGUCUAAACUUUUGAGUAACUAAGAGGGAUAUGUUUAUUAGUGGAACUACAACCAGUGUAUUAUUGUUUUACAAUAGAACCAAAUGGGCAAGCAUUUGGAGUUUCCUGCACAUAUUUAUUUAGGUACCCAGACAACAUGAUCCUCGGGAAGGAAAUGGCAAACAGGAACUUGUCCUGGCUUGAUCUGCAGAACUUUGAAAGCCAAGUGUUUUGGGUUCCAUUUUGUUGUAUCUUCAUGGCAUACUGCCACUGCUUUAACUUUUGUUCCAUCUGCACCCACCAAGGAAAGUGUAUAUGCUCUAGUAGCUUGUGUUUUGUGGCAGUAAAAUACAGCAUAUGCAUAAUUUUGCUGGUGGCACACUACAGCUUUGUCAUUUGUCAUGUUUUUCACUCCUGCAAUGGUAUAUUUCUGCAGUGGAGUAUCUUUCUCUGAAUUUGUUGAUAUCGCCUGAACGUUCUUCCCCAGUUUGGAGGUGGUGAAAUCUACCAUUGCUUCCAAUGAUGUUGCACAGAACUUCUCCUCUCCCUGGAUGCCUGGCUCCUCGCACUCUUUUAUUGUAUUUUUCAUAACUUCAGCUUCCUGUGAGUUGGGCUUCACUGAGAAUUUGUUCAAGAUUUCAGUCAUUUUGUUUGAUGAGAAAGGAAUUGAUUCAGCAACCUGGCGAGGUAAGAAAGUGGCUCCAUGUGAAGUCUUGAAGAAAUGCAAGUUCAUCUUUGAUCCUCGAGUCAUGUUAUUUUCCAAGAAGAAAAGAGCUACAUUUGGGUUGUCAUGGAGCUGAUCCCUGGUUGCUGCGUAGUUAUACAAGAAUGGUGAUGUCCCUGGCCUUCCUCCCACAUAUACUGGUUUCCCCCUGUGGUGGCCUGAGGAUACGGUUACACCUCCACCAUGCCCGACAUUCACAUUGGUGCCUUCAGGAUUUCUGCCCUGUGUCUCGGAACCUCCUGGAUCCCCCGGUCCAACAUUCACGUUGGUGCCUCCUGGUGUAUUAACACCUACUCCACCAGGCCCGACGUUUACAUUGGUGCCUCCUGGUGUAUUUACAUCUACGCCACCGUGCCCAGCAUUCACGUUGGUGCCUCCUGGAUUUCCACCCUGAGUAUUAACAUCUACUCCACCACCACUUACUCCGACUGAAGUACUUUUAUCAUCCACCGUUUCUGCCAUAACAAUCAGUUAGCAUGAACACACGGAUGAAUAUACUAUUCAUACCACCUUAUAAGUAAUUUAAUGUCUUAUUCUUUCUUUCUUUAGAUAGGAUUAGUUUUCCUUGUGUAAGAAUUGUUAAAAAUCUACUUAAUCCUUUUCAUGUACCGGAUUUGCCAAUUUUUUGCUAAAAAAAAGGUAAUUUAAUGUCUUAUGCUCUGUAGUAGUAUUUAUUCUAGAGUUUGCUGACUCGUUCCCUUUUAACCUUUGUAUCACUGUUUAUUGCCUAAGCCUAAUUUGUGGUUUCUCGAGAACAUUACUGGCAUGUAGAAACAUGAAAUGCAUAGAGACAAAAAAGCAUUUUGUUUUUGAAUAACAACAGUGAAAGAACAGCUUUUAGGUUUGAGUCUGACCAGAUUGUAUAAGAUCCUCGAUAGCUUUCGGCAUAGGACUGUUAGGGAGCACAGAUUUCCAAUAUGUCUCAGCAGGUUGUGCUGCGUGGCUUGACACACAAGCUAGCUGAAACACACAGACGAACAAGUGAACAUUUUAUUGGAAAAGGCGUAAAAGAGAAUACAUUUUAUUGGCAAAAGCGUAAAUAAUUGAUACAAUGUUGUACU
rnacentral:lncRNA from 1 species